UACGGAGGGUGCAAGCGUUAUCCGGAUUCACUGGGUUUAAAGGGUGCGUAGGCGGGUAGAUAAGUCAGUGGUGAAAUCUCCGAGCUUAACUCGGAAACUGCCAUUGAUUCUAUUUAUCUUGAAUAUUGUGGAGGUAAGCGGAAUAUGUCAUGUAGCGGUGAAAUGCUUAGAUAUGACAUAGAACACCAAUUGCGAAGGCAGCUUACUACACAAUGAUUGACGCUGAGGCACGAAAGCGUGGGGAUCAAACAGG
rnacentral:rRNA from 1 species